GUCGAGCGGAGAUGAGGUGCUUGCACCUUAUCUUAGCGGCGGACGGGUGAGUAAUGCUUAGGAAUCUGCCUAUUAGUGGGGGACAACAUUCCGAAAGGAAUGCUAAUACCGCAUACGUCCUACGGGAGAAAGCAGGGGAUCUUCGGACCUUGCGCUAAUAGAUGAGCCUAAGUCGGAUUAGCUAGUUGGUGGGGUAAAGGCCUACCAAGGCGACGAUCUGUAGCGGGUCUGAGAGGAUGAUCCGCCACACUGGGACUGAGACACGGCCCAGACUCCUACGGGAGGCAGCAGUGGGGAAUAUUGGACAAUGGGGGGAACCCUGAUCCAGCCAUGCCGCGUGUGUGAAGAAGGCCUUAUGGUUGUAAAGCACUUUAAGCGAGGAGGAGGCUACUGAGACUAAUACUCUUGGAUAGUGGACGUUACUCGCAGAAUAAGCACCGGCUAACUCUGUGCCAGCAGCCGCGGUAAUACAGAGGGUGCGAGCGUUAAUCGGAUUUACUGGGCGUAAAGCGUGCGUAGGCGGCUUUUUAAGUCGGAUGUGAAAUCCCCGAGCUUAACUUGGGAAUUGCAUUCGAUACUGGGAAGCUAGAGUAUGGGAGAGGAUGGUAGAAUUCCAGGUGUAGCGGUGAAAUGCGUAGAGAUCUGGAGGAAUACCGAUGGCGAAGGCAGCCAUCUGGCCUAAUACUGACGCUGAGGUACGAAAGCAUGGGGAGCAAACAGGAUUAGAUACCCUGGUAGUCCAUGCCGUAAACGAUGUCUACUACCGUUGGGGCCUUUGAGGCUUUAGUGGCGCAGCUAACGCGAUAAGUAGACCGCCUGGGGAGUACGGUCGCAAGACUAAAACUCAAAUGAAUUGACGGGGGCCCGCACAAGCGGUGGAGCAUGUGGUUUAUUUCGAUGCAACGCGAAGAACC
rnacentral:rRNA from 1 species